GGGUGCUCAACGUAUUUCUGGGCUUCACUUUGUAGGAACUGACGUAAAUGAUCUGAUAGCAUUUGCUUCCUGCAGGCUCUAAACACAUCAAAGACAUGUUUUCUGCUUUGAAAGAGAGUGCUGCGGAACUCAUUGGGGGUUUGGACUCCUUGAUGCAUCAGAAAUCGAUCCCACUGUACUAAUUGCAUAGGUCAAAUACAGUUAUAUAAUGUCAAUACAGAGUGAGAAGUGAGAACAAAGAAUUGGUUCAGACCUUGGGAUCAUGGAUGACAUUUUUGAUGUCCGUGGAAACGAUGCAAAUGAUUCUGAGUAUGAGCUUCUGGUCUGCAGUCCAUCCAAAAUUGUGGUUAGUAAAUCUAACACAAAAGUGUUGAGUAUACAAUGAAAUUGAUGAGAGCAAUCCAAAAGAGGUGUGGUUGUUCUGGGUAAUGGAGAGUGAAUAUUCAAAUUUAAGCAUUGAAGAGAAGUUAAAUGCUGUUAUUCCGUUGAUUGAUCUACUCAGAGCCGGUACUCAGAGGUGGUUCCAGUAUCAAAAUGGAGAGUGUUAAUUGAAUAUCUGUUCAAGUAUGUGAAUAUAUGGACCUCCAUUGCCUUUCAUGAUUCUAUUUACUGGAGUUGUUUGGAGAGUUUUAUCUCCAUGGGCUUUGCCAUUUGGUCAGUCUUCCAAACAAGUGAUCAGUCCAUAUUAGGAGUGAAGGUAAGAGGCUAUUGACAUCUUGAAACAUGGUCUUGCCUUCAGUAACUCAUUCUGAUAGAUGCCUUAUCAAUUAAAAUUCAUGUAAAUUGAGAAUUAAUUUGAAUCUUGUGGUAUACACUAUUAUGCUCGCUGGCUUGGACUGAGCUUUUGAAGUUCCUCAAUUUUACCACCUUCUGAGGACAGCCUUGUAGCCACAUGAUAGGACUUGACAGGGAAUUAAAACAGUUGUUGCACUGAGGAGGGUAACCUCCUAGUGCCGGUCAACACGGAUUCACUUUACAUGGCAAGAACAUGGAAAGAACAUGGAUUCACUUUACACGCCGUUCUUUAUGUUGUGCGUACAACCUAUUGACAAGAAGCCAACGAAGUCCAAUCAAAUUUAUGAGAUGCGCUUCUGCUCAAUAAUUUUUAAUGGAAUCUGAUUGUUGUGGAUGAAUUGGCAAGAGCAACUGUCUUCCUCUGAUAGGGAAAGGUCCUCUCAAUGCUGUAACGCCCACACCGAAUAUGGACUGAACUGUCUCACAACGUUCUGAACCUAGCUCACGUACCGCUUUAAUGGGUGAACAGCCCAACCUUUGGAACAUACUACAGCUCCAGGGGGCUAAGAGCCGUAGGUUAUAAAUUAAAUUAUUUAAUUAAUUUUUAUUUAAUUGAUAUUAA